rnacentral:tRNA from 1 species
GCAUCAGUGGUGUAGUGGUCAAGAUGUUUGCCUGGUAAACAGGAGGGCAUGGGUUCAAUCCCAGCUGAGGUA